CCGAACUUACAAGCCAUUUGGUUGUGCUGGUGGAGACACAAGUGCACACCGAUGGUGAUAUCCAUACACCUGUGAACCUUUGACUCCAAGGUGAGAUUCAUCAGUUACGGUGGAGUGGGUGGGGCUUGAUCCCACCCUUAGCCUUGGAGUACUUUUUAACAUAUGCCGAAUGUUGUGGAAUGUCUCUGUGCAUAAUGCGCAACCAUA
rnacentral:misc_RNA from 1 species